UGGGCAACCUGCCCCUCUCUCUGGGAUAACCCCGGGAAACCGGGGCUAAUACCGGAUGUGACGCGCCCGCGCAUGGGGGUGUGUGGAAAGAUUUAUUGGCCAGGGAUGGGCUCGCGGCCUAUCAGCUUGUUGGUGGGGUGAUGGCCUACCAAGGCGACGACGGGUAGCCGGCCUGAGAGGGCGACCGGCCACACUGGGACUGAGACACGGCCCAGACUCCUACGGGAGGCA
rnacentral:rRNA from 1 species